rnacentral:tRNA from 1 species
GAGAAUGUAGCUUAGUGAGUGGUAAAGCAUCUGCCUAAUAUGCAUGAGGUGCUGGGUUUAAUCCCCAGCACUGCUG